rnacentral:rRNA from 1 species
UACGGAGGAUGCGAGCGUUAUCCGGAUUUAUUGGGUUUAAAGGGUGCGUAGGCGGUCCGUUAAGUCAGCGGUAAAAUUGCGGGGCUCAACCCCGUCGAGCCGUUGAAACUGGCAGACUUGAGUUGGCGAGAAGUACGCGGAAUGCGCGGUGUAGCGGUGAAAUGCAUAGAUAUCGCGCAGAACUCCGAUUGCGAAGGCGGCUCUCUGGACUGUAACUGACACUGAGGCACGAAAGCGUGGGGAGCAAACAGG